rnacentral:rRNA from 1 species
AGAGUUUGAUCAUGGCUCAGAUUGAACGCUGGCGGCAGGCUUAACACAUGCAAGUCGAGCGGGGGAGAUUGCUUCGGUAAUUGACCUAGCGGCGGACGGGUGAGUAAUACUUAGGAAUCUGCCUAUUAAUGGGGGACAACAUCUCGAAAGGGAUGCUAAUACCGCAUACGCCCUACGGGGGAAAGCAGGGGAUCACUUGUGACCUUGCGUUAAUAGAUGAGCCUAAGUCGGAUUAGCUAGUUGGUGGGGUAAAGGCCUACCAAGGCGACGAUCUGUAGCGGGUCUGAGAGGAUGAUCCGCCACACUGGGACUGAGACACGGCCCAGACUCCUACGGGAGGCAGCAGUGGGGAAUAUUGGACAAUGGGGGGAACCCCGAUCCAGCCAUGCCGCGUGUGUGAAGAAGGCCUUAUGGUUGUAAAGCACUUUAAGCGAGGAGGAGGCUCUCUUGGUUAAUACCCAAGAAGAGUGGACGUUACUCGCAGAAUAAGCGCCGGCUAACUCUGUGCCAGCAGCCGCGGUAAUACAGAGGGUGCGAGCGUUAAUCGGAUUUACUGGGCGUAAAGCGUGCGUAGGCGGCUUUUUAAGUCGGAUGUGAAAUCCCCGAGCUUAACUUGGGAAUUGCAUUCGAUACUGGGAAGCUAGAGUAUGGGAGAGGAUGGUAGAAUUCCAGGUGUAGCGGUGAAAUGCGUAGAGAUCUGGAGGAAUACCGAUGGCGAAGGCAGCCAUCUGGCCUAAUACUGACGCUGAGGUACGAAAGCAUGGGAGCAAAC